ensembl:snRNA U2 U2 spliceosomal RNA
UUCACUUCUCAGCCUUUUGGCUAAGAUCAAGUGUAGUAUCUGUUCUUAUCAGUUUAAUAUUUAAUUUUUCUCAUUAGGAAGAAUGUAAAUUAAAUUAAAUUUUUCUCCUAGGGAAGGAGGAGAAAUAAU